rnacentral:tRNA from 3 species
UGGUUUGGUAGUUCAGUUGGUUAGAAUGCCUGCCUGUCACGCAGGAGGUCGCGGGUUCGAGUCCCGUCCAGACCGU